GAUGAACGCUGGCGGCGUGCCUAAUACAUGCAAGUCGAACGAGGUGCUUUUGUAGCAAUACGAGAGUAUCCUAGUGGCGAACGGGUGAGUAACGCGUGGAUGACCUGCCCCAAAGUGUGGGAUAACAGUCCGAAAGGAUUGCUAAUACCUCAUGUGGUUAUCGGUUUUAGAAAGCGAUAACUAAAGCAGCAAUGCGCUUUGGGAGGGAUCUGCGUCCCAUCAGCUAGUUGGUGAGGUAACGGCUCACCAAGGCGACGACGGGUAGGGGACCUGAGAGGGUGGCCCCCCACAAUGGACUGAACACGGUCCAUACACCUACGGUGGGCAGCAGUAGGGAAGU
rnacentral:rRNA from 1 species